AACCUAAGAUUCCAUUAUUCACAGUAGCAGUUUCAAAAUCAGUAUGUCAGAUCGAAGCAAAGAAGAAAUCAGAAAAUAAAGCAAAGCAAUAUGUGUUUCCUUCAAAUAAAAAUAUAAUUUAGUUAGGAAGUUGAGGGAAACGGCUACACAUGCAUGUUUAUGCAGCAACAUAUCCUAUGCACACAGGCCCUCACGUGUACACACGGGCACACCAACUAAAAAAUGUCACCAAAAAAACUAGAAAAAAUCAUACACAUACUUUCAAUUGUAUUACACCUAGGGUUAAAAUCUUAACGUCAAAUUCAUUAUAUUUUAGCCGUAACAAAAUAAACAAAAAAUCUGACAGUUUUAAGGUUGCAAUUUUGUCAGAAUUUUAUCUUUUUUGUUAUUCUCUAUGUAGAAUGAAUUUGAAGAUGCGACUUUGCACGUAGAUGUAAUACUAUUGAAAGUACAUGUAUGAAUUUUCCUAAAAUUUUUUGUGAUAAUUUUUAGUUGGUGUACACGGUGUGUACACGCGAGGGCCUGUGUGCAUAGGAUAUGCUCCCUGUUUAUGCAACCACAACAAAUAUCCAACAGACUGUCAUAGGUAGUGGGCCGAGGGGUCGAGGCCCUAGGGAUAAGGAUAGAGUUGGUUGGAUAGGAUUAGACUGGGUCCUCCCUCCAUCUAUAUAAGGAUGGUUUGUAUCAUCAUUCUAAUUAAGCAAUGAAUCAAGAUUAGUCUCUCCCAGCCUAAGUCCUCCUCUCAUCCCUAGCAGCCGUCGCCGCCCGGCUAUCCUCUCGGCGGUGUUUACCCCCUAUGGAUCCUAACCCAUAACAACUUGGUAUCAGAGCCAUGGUUGUUGAAGAUAUGAUCAAAGAUCCUAGAGACAUGUGCAUCCGGAUCCUCAAAAGGAUGCAGGUCGACCUGGCGGUACUUGCAGCCUCAAUGAGGACGGAGCAUGCGCCAAUCGAGAAGGAAGAGAAGUGCAAUCUGCAGACGGCGGUGGUGGGCACAGCAAUGCCGUCGCUGGCCGCGGCUCCAUCCUCUCAGCCCUCCCCAAUGGAGGCUAUUGUGUCGUGCCAUCAUCUAUCAUCCAUGCGCCCACGACAGCAUGUAUUCAAGAAGCGUAAUUCAGGCAGGUCGUCAGGGUGCAGGGCAAGCCAUGGCGCGCGGCGUGGUGCGCGGCCGAGGGCAGCUGCACCUGCUUCCUCUGGGACAACCUUCCCUGAAGCAAGGCGGCCGGGGGAUCCUUGUUGGCAGGAGCAGGGGCCAUUUUCGGGUAGCCCUCGCCCAUGCAGUUGGCUAUGGCGCUGGCGCCGCCGCUGCUGGGGUCAUCGGAGGCGAAGACGGCGAUUCCGGCUGCCACGAAGACGCGGGCUGGUUUUUUUUUUGGGAAGCGAGCGGCAAGGCGGCAGGCGCAUUGGCGCGGGCUCCUGGCAACGCGGCGCGCACAACAGCGCGAUUCGUGCGCGCGGCAGUUGGGGAAGUGCGGCGUGGCCCUUGAUUCUCGGCGGGCGUCGCGCGCGGAGGCGUGGGAGACGACGCAGCAGUUGCGCAGCCCACGAGCGGCGGAAGCGCGGCUCCAACUACCGGCAGCGUUGCAUUCAGUGGAUAAGAUUUCACGUCCUGGUGGGAUCAGCAGAUCGAUCAAGCCAUCUUGGUGGCUCUUGGGCCAGUGGGCUGGUCCACAAAUUACAACACAAGGGCCUUCAACUAUGCCUUGGGCCUUAGGCAGUCAGUGUGGGCUAGAAAUGUUGGCACCAUGGCUGUUGUGCUGGUCCGGUGGAGCUAAUCUGAAUGUGCCAUCUACAAACCACCUUGGAAAACAGAUUAGAUGUGCAAUCAAGCUUGCAACGUGCUAUGGACUUAUCCUUUCUCUCAAAGCUUUGGGAUGGGGUCCACCUACAUCUGAUGUCGGCGAGAUAGCAUGGUGGUGCAUCAUAAUCUUUGAUUUAUUUAUCCUUUCAAUUUCAGUUUGCCAUAAAGUAAUAAGCCGAGAUGUAAAAGGCUUAAGUCAUAUAAGGCUUUAUUUAGGGAGUCGUUUGGGUCAGCUAAAUUGUGCUGCAGCUCGAGGGCGAGCUGCUCGAAAGGAGGGAUGUAGUGUCAUAGGUAGUGGGCCGAGGGGUCGAGGCCCUAGGGAUAAGGAUAGAGUUGGUUGGAUAGGAUUAGACUGGGUCCUCCCUCCAUCUAUAUAAGGAUGGUUUGUAUCAUCAUUCUAAUUAAGCAAUGAAUCAAGGUUAGUCUCUCCCAACCUAAGUCCCCCUCUCAUCCCUAGCAGCCGUCGCCGCCCGGCUAUCCUCCCGGCGGUGUUUACCCCCUAUGAAUCCUAACCCAUAACACAAACAGAAAUAGGACUCAUCAUUACAAAUUUCUAGUAGGUAACAAGUAUAUAUUCUUUCAUGUAGUAACACAAGAUAGUCAAAAAAGUGGUAGCUAGUUAUGCAUUCACCUUGAACCAUAGAAAAAUUUACAAUAUUUACCAAAACCACUAGCUGUGUAGGUUAUAUACAACUACAUCAAUGUGGAAAUUAAACUGAACCAUAUGAUAACUAGCAAGGAAAAAAUUUUGCCAUACCGUG
rnacentral:lncRNA from 1 species